CACAGCCUCAAGUAGCGGCUGCAGUAUAUGUAAAUAAAUGAAGAGUCUGUAUAAUCCUAUAUUGAUGAUUGAAUGAAUUUCAUUUUAACUAAAAAUACGGUAGAGGAGGGUGGGGCACAGUGGAGGCCACGAGACCGAUCCCUGGUGUGCAGCCUGCAUUUUCGCCUGGAUGACUACCGCAGUGGUGCACUUGUCAAGAGGCUAAAGAAGACUGCUGUUCCCUCAGCACUAGUCUCAGGAGACCCCUUUGAGGUCCACUGUCACCCUGAGAAACGUAGGCUGCCCAUAGAGCUAGGGGAACACGCAUGUGAACCAUCCCAAAAGGCAAUGAGGUCCGCAACAGCACGGACCACUAGUGACUGUGGGAGCAUCGCCAUUCUCAGUUCAGGCAGACAACUGCAAUGUACUCAACUCCCUCAAAAACUCCCUCAAAACUCAAUUGAAGAACCUUCUGACAGCAACACCCUGCAAUGUGGUAGCCCAAGGAUUUCAACACCAGUCCCACCACCACCACUAGUCCCUUCCUGGUCACCACCACUACCACUCCCUCACCAGUCAUCAGUCCCUUACAGGUCAUCAUGACCACCACCAGUACCUCACCAAUCACUACCACCACUAGUCCCUCAUCAGUCAUCAGUACCUUACCGGUCACCACCACAACCUGUAUCUCACCAGCCACUACCACCACUUGUCCCUCACCCAUCUCCAGCACCACCAGUCCCUCACCAGUGUCCAGCAGUCACCCCAGUAGCACACCAAAGGAAUCGCAAGACACGAUGUGUCUCUGCACAAACCACCACAACUUCAAAAUAUAUAAAUGGACUGACAAGAAAAAUCCGAACCUUCCAAAGAAAAUGCCGAAAGUGGCAACAAUCAAAUGUGGCCCUUCGCACGGAGCUGGCACAACUACGGAAAAAUGUAGUGCACCUGAAGACUAUUGUGGACAAGACAAACAUACAAACACUUCAGGCAGACAUGCAGCUUACAUGCGUAAGUAUA